GGCAGUGGGGCGGGGAGGGAGUGAGCAAGAGGCUUCCCAGGGCUCUGGAGACUUCCUUCUGGAAAGGCUGCUGUGUGUUUGUAGCGCUUAUGAGGCCUGUGGUCCCUGGGGACCUGGAAGGGGCGUUUAAUGGACUUUUGAGAAUCAAAGUCAGAUUGCCAGGGACAAAGGAAGGUUGUGAGGAAAUGGAGGCCACUGCAUCUCCGGCCGUGCUCCGGGAAUGGGGAGAAGGUACCUGUGGCAUUUUCCCCAGACAACGGGAGAUGGUGGUCCCUAGAGCUUUUGUGGGCUAUGAAACGGUGGGUGCUUCUCCCCCAGUCAGAGCCGCUCCCCAGCUCUUACGAUAUCCACUAGGUUCUUCUUUAACCACACCCGAGAGGAUAACUGAUUUGCCAAUGUUUACAGGCAGUUUUAUUUACUAAUCUAGCUCUCAUUUACUGUCAACUAAAUUUAUAGUCCUAAUUACAGUCCUCAGCAUUUUCCUGAUAAUAAACAUACAGGAUGUGUUUUAUGUUUGUUUGUUUUUUUUUUAACUGUGGGGGAGUUUAUUUUCUUGAUUACUUUAAAUUUCCUAUUAAAGUCUUAAAUUUAACCAUCAGCUUCUCACAACAAUCUAUGAACUUUUCUGCCACUUUAAUUCUUCUAAAAGGGCUCAAGCCAAAUGCGAACCAGGGGUUCUUAGAGGUUUCAGUGAAUGAUUUCAAAGCCUUGUCACACUUCAAAAUCACUUGGCGGCUUUCAAAAAAUUAGUUUUCCCUCCCUCUUGGGAGACUAAUUUUUGUAGGGCUGGGACAUACUCAGAAACUAGUAUUUUUGAAAAACCUCCUCAGUGAUUCUUAAGUUGCUGCUAUAAAAGCCAGUUCUGGGAAACUGUUGUCUAAAUGCUAAAUCUAUUUUGUCUGUCUUGUUUGUUUGUUUGUUUUUAUUUAAAGAAACUCAUGCUUGUGGAGCAAGCAGGGAAGGGGUUGGGGGUGGGGGUAGAGAAUCUCAAGCAGUCUCCACGCUGUCAGAGCAGGGCUCUCACCCAUGAGUUAUGGAAUCGUGACCUGAGCCAAAACCAAGAGUCGGACGUUUAACCAACUAAACCACCCAGGCACCCCUAUUUUGUUUGUCUUUUAGUGAAAUUUGGAGAUGGCAGCUUUAACUUCCAAAAUGUUAAAUAAUGCUUUGCAUUUCCAGAAAAUACUCUUUUUUUUCACCUCCAUCGCCACCCACCCAGGGCUUGAACUUCCUGAACCCUUCAGUCCUUCCUUACCUAACACCUGAUGCCGGAUGAUGCCGUUGUUUUCACCAAUCCGUGUCCCCUCUGGUUUUCCUAGAUUCCUGCUUUCUCCCUGUGGCAGCAUGUUUUGGGCUUUCUUUUGUGAAUGACAGUUGGCCUUUCUUCCUGUGCUUUCUUAAGCCCUGCUGCUCUUCAAGGUGUCCUGGAUACUUGAGGUAACGGACCAGGCGCCAUAGAAUCCGCUCCCACAACUGGCAUAAGGUGCUGUGACUCUCAGAUCUUCACCUCUCACUGUUUCUCUGGGAAGUCUCCAGGUCCCCACAUUUCAACUACCUACCAAGCAUUUACUCUUAGAUAUCCCACAAAGCACCUCAGACUCAGUGUUUCUCAAAUAUUACAUCCCUAGCUAUGUUUGUUUCUGUGAGGUUUUUUGUUUGUUUUGGGUUUUGUUUUUUGGUUUUUUUUUUUAGUAAUUUCACCCAACAUGGUGCUCGAACUCACGACCCUAAGAUCAAGAGUCACACACUCUUCCUACUGUGCCAGACAGGUGCCCCUGUUCUUUGUGUUUUUUAUCUCAAUGAAGGGCUCUACCACAUUAGUCAAGCUAGAAACAUGGGGGUAACCCCAUUCAUUCAUUUAAAACCACUAUUCUAGGCACUGGGGAUAACAGAAACUACAAAAAGUCGUGCCCUCCAAAAACUUGUAUUCCAGAAGGGGAAAACAGAGUAAGCAAUCAGUCCCCAAAUCUAACAGAUUCCAACUUAUUAUUUUUUUUAAAGGUGAGCCACCUUUUUUUUUUUUUUUUAAUAUUUAUUUUUGAGAAAGAGCAAGUGGGGCAGGGGCAGAGAGAGAGGGGGACAGAGGAUCAGAAGCAGGUUCUAUGCUGACAACAGAAAGCCCGAUGUGGGGCUCGAACUCACAAGCCACACGAUCAUGAAUGGAGCUGAAGUCAGACACUCAACCGACUAAGCCAGGCAGGCACCCCCAGAUUCCAACUUCUAAUAUCUCUAGACUCUGUCUCUCCAGUCACCACCUUAGUUCAAACCCUUGAUGGCCUCCCUCUUUCUCUUACUCCCUCCAGCCCAUUCUCCCGACAGCAGUGGGGAGCUGAAUCUUAAAUUGUAGCCUCUAGCUUUAAGCUUUCCAUCCCUCCAGGAGAGAGUCUUUCUUUGCAAUCUGGGUUAAAGGGUUUUAUAGCCUCUAGGCCCUGCUGGCCUUUCCAUCACUCAUCUCCACCCCGGUGAGCCACACUCUCCUCAGGCCACACUGAAUUAUAGCUGCAGGCUUCCCAUACCUGCCAUUCCACGCCUUCCCUCCUGCUUAGCUGACUCCUUGUCUGCUUUGCAGGUCUUAGCUCAGGUACUAUGACAGGCAGCUUCUGAGGUGGCCCCCACUGAUCCCUGGCUCCUCAUAUCCAGCCCUUGGGAUUCUGAAGAAAGGAAUGUGGCAGAAGCUGCCUUGUUGUGAACUGCUCUGUGAUGAAGGCCAUGUGACAAGGAGCAGAGGGAAGCCUCCGGCCAAAAACCUGUGAGGAACUGAAUCCUUCCAGCAAUGAUGUGAGCGAGCUUGGCACAGGGGUCCCCCCACCAAGCUGGGCCUUCAGAUGAGAUGGCCGCCCCAGCAGUCAGCAUUAACCGCAACCUCAUGGAAGACCUUCAGCCACGAGAGGCAGCCAGUUAAGUCAUGCCUGGAUUCCUGACCCAAAAAAAAACAAAAACAAAAACCUGUAAGAUAAUAAAUGUUUGUUGUCUUAAGC
rnacentral:lncRNA from 1 species